rnacentral:ncRNA from 1 species
GGCCGGUUGAUUCGUCCCGGCCUGUGGAACGGGUGAACAGGAGACGGAAACCCCGAGCCAAAUGCGGCGGUCGGAAUGGCGAAGC